GCCCGGGUGGCGGAACUGGUAGACGCAAGGGACUUAAAAUCCCUCGGUAGCAAUACCGUGCCGGUUCGAUUCCGGCCCCGGGCACCA
rnacentral:tRNA from 1 species